UGGUGCUGCUACGUGUUUCUAUGUGGGAGGGUUUUGAGCAAAAGAUUGACGUUUGAUUCAAUGGCAGAUGGAGAAGAGAGAGUGAAAAGGAAUGGACACAGUCAUGUUAAAAUGGUUUCAGAUUCACCUGUUGAUCCGUUCACAGAGAGAUGGUGUCAAGUUUCAAAUCCAGUGGCUGAAAGACCAGCGAUAAAGUGACGAGCCUGGUCGCGUUUCAGCACUACAGUAGAGGACAGCUCCCACAACCGAGUUCAGCGCUGAUUAUGGCCAAGGAUUCAGCCACAUCCUGUGAGGGAGGUGCUAGCCUACAGUGAAGAGGGGAGACAAGCCCAAGGUGCUGAGUGGAAGACUAGUGAUUUUGUUGUGAUGGUGAACAAAGACAACAAAUCCCAGUCUGCCUCCCAGCAUGGGACUCAGAGCAGCAAAGUCCUCUACAGUGUGUGCAUUUGUCUGCGUGUUUGAGAAGGUAUUCUUCUUAUACAGUUAAAUGUCGGGAAAAAAAAUCACCCAGCACCAGCCAAAGGCACAAAAAGGGCCACGGCUUUUAUUCCUUCCUUGGAUUGUUUAUCUAUGAAAGGAUUUUUGUUCACAAUUGAAUGGGGUCUUUUGUAACUGUGGCAUGGAUUAGUGAUGACAAUGAUAAUUAAGUGCCAAAAAGCCUUAACAAUUUAAGAUUUUACAUCAUUGCAAUUAAGAAUUUAAUCUUUCUUUUCAGACCUUCAGUGUUUUAUAAGACCAAUUGACCUUUUCUUGGCAGUACUGAAUUACACAGAUAAAAUUUCUUGACAUAAAUGCAAUCAAUGGAUGAAGAUCCUAUGGCUACACAUGUUGAAUGAAAACAAAAUCUAAAAUAAAUACAUUAAUGCAAGAAAUUAUAAAUAAAGAAAGCUAGUAUGGUCAA